rnacentral:rRNA from 1 species
ACAGAGGUCCCAAGCGUUGUUCGGAUUCACUGGGCGUAAAGGGUGCGUAGGCGGUCGGGUAAGUCUGAUGUGAAAUCUCCAAGCUCAACUUGGAAAUGGCAUCGGAUACUAUCCGGCUGGAGGAAUGGAGGGGAGACUGGAAUUCUCGGUGUAGCAGUGAAAUGCGUAGAUAUCGAGAGGAACACCAGUGGCGAAGGCGAGUCUCUGGACAUUUCCUGACGCUGAGGCACGAAAGCCAGGGGAGCAAACGGGA